GCGAGAUUCGGAGUCUUGUCCGGAGUCGGCUGCGCGUGGGAGCGCGGGCCCCAGCGCAGGCCGGGAUGUUUGUCCUGGUGGAGAUGGUGGACACCGUGCGGAUUCCCCCGUGGCAGUUUGAGAGGAAGCUCAACGACUCCAUUGCCGAGGAGCUGAACAAAAAGUUGGCCAACAAGGUCGUGUACAACGUGGGGCUCUGCAUCUGUCUGUUUGACAUCACCAAGCUGGAGGAUGCCUACGUGUUCCCAGGGGACGGCGCGUCGCACACCAAAGUCCAUUUUCGCUAUGUGGUGUUCCAUCCCUUCCUGGACGAGAUUCUGAUUGGCAAGAUCAAAGGCUGUAGCCCGGAGGGAGUGCACGUCUCUCUAGGGUUCUUCGAUGAUAUUCUCAUUCCCCCCGAGUCGCUGCAGCAGCCAGCCAAGUUCGACGAGGCAGAGCAGGUGUGGGUGUGGGAGUACGAGACCGAGGAAGGAGCGCACGACUUGUACAUGGACACCGGCGAGGAGAUCCGCUUCCGGGUGGUGGACGAGAGCUUUGUGGACACGUCCCCCACGGGGCCCAGCUCGGCCGAGGCCACGUCUUCCAGUGAGGAGCUGCCGAAGAAGGAGGCGCCGUACACGCUUAUGGUGGGAUCCAUCAGUGAGCCAGGUCUGGGCCUUCUCUCCUGGUGGACCAGCAGCUAGCCGUGGGGCUUGACGGCGGACCUUGGCCAGUCCGGCAGACCCCAGCCCAGCCCCGGGGAAGGUGGUGCAGCCGGCCGUGACGACCACGGCCGCUUCCGCAGAUGCCGAGGAGCAGACGUUUGGAAGGCAGGGGCCUGGACUCAGGCAAGCCAGCGCCGUCAGGAAAGUGGAGGCCGUGGGCUUAGGUGGCCCGAGGGCCGGGCGGGCGACCAGCUGUGUUAUCCCCCCACCGCCACCCCCGGCAGGACAACGGUCACUUUCAGACCUCGGCCACACCAGGAACACUCCGUGGGCCUGCUGGCGGCGCCAAAUCCCAGACGAGGGCACACAGCACCUUGUUUAUUCAGCACAAGGGCUCUGCCAGGUUCCUCCUGCCUCUUCACUCACUUCCGCAGGACCCGCAGGCUCGUUUCAUGGCGCCCACAGGACACCGAGUUUCUGUCAGGCAAGUCUCGUGCUGAGGAAGGGCCCUCCCUGGAGCCCACCUCCUGCUCUGGGCCGCCUCUGCUCCACGGGCACCGGGGCGUGGGUCCUGCCCGGGGACGGCGCUCCAGGGGGAGAAGCAGCUGCAGAACGAUGCCCGCCGCUGCGUGGUGCCGCAGCCUUGAGGGAGGGGGCUGAGUCCAUGCCCAGGAGAAGGACACGAGGGGGGCCAUGCGGAUGCUGGGGCACAGGCAGGGGAGGCUGGCCCAGGGCGCAGGAAGGUGGGGCUGAGAAGACGCGGGAAAGCAGCCUUCCCACUUGAACUUCCUGGCAGUGGCAGGUCUGCUGUGGCGUGGCCAGUGGGGGCCUCUGCCGACUGGCCACAGCAACCCCGCCCCACACCCUGUACGGACACCACCACUCACACACACGGACAGUC